CAAUGAAAACAUUGUAAAACAAUGUAGUUGCUAUUAAAGGUCAAAUAAAUUCAGUUUCACCACUUCUGUUUUAAUCAUAGUUCUAAUUCUCUCUACCAGCCUGUGUUCAUUUAUAGCCCAGAAAGACAACUCGCAGCUCUGUGCCUCGAGGAGACACAAACGCAAGAUGGAACCAAGACAUGACGACAUCCAUAACUAAGCGACUGUUCUUCUCAGAGGCGAUAUAGACAGUUCCCGGUUCAUGUGGACGGACCAAGCAUCAGAACCAAGAGUAAUGUCAAGGUUGGGACAAGUGUGAGUGGAACGGUUUAUAGCACAACAGCUCAGGAGAGCUAUAGGCAAAAAGGACUAGUUCGAGCCAAGCCGCAGAACUAUCCUCCUGGUUGGGUCCUGGCACAUCAAGAGUCUGGUCCAGCUCUUACUACUGUGCAACAGGAUUAUGUUCCACUAAACUCCAAAAGGCAUGAAUUAUGCCCUGGGCUUCUUCAUAUGAUCAAAGAGAGUCAUAUCACGUCUCCUCACGAUGAACAAUAUUUCACAGCGACCCACAAAGAAGCUUUUGAGGCCAAGCCAAUUGUGGAGGUGUCUUUAGACUACUGCAAGCAACCUGUGUGAGGCGUGCUUGUCUGGACAAGGCCCCUACAUGAUGCUUACUGCCCUGCACAGUUCCUUCUUGAGUACAGCUUAUAGAGGGAUGUUGGUAUUCCAUGGUAUACCAGGUCAAAUGUGCCCUCCUAAUGAGUUCAUUAAAGUGAGCUUUGUUGUGACACAGCAGUGCAUGUGUAUUUACAAUAUUUACACUGCCUGUAUAACUCGUCGGUUUCUUAUCAGAACAUGGCAGCUGUUUGAGGCUUGAUGUGAAAACUGCAUGUCCUCCAUAGAGCUGUGGAGUUGGUGAGGAGCAGGCUGAAAAAGCAAGUUAAUAGUGCGAGUAACAACAGUAUACAGUAAAUAUAUAGGGUUUCUAUUAUUAUUAUUAUUAUUAUUGUUAUUGUUAUUAUUAUUGUUAUUAUUAUUCCCUGAAUUUGAUAUGGACAAGGCAAGGUAAAGUAUUCAAACAUGUAAGUGUUAAAUACUUCUGCAGAGUGUGAAAAUGUGACAUAAGCUUGUACCUUGACUUGCAUCUGGCUAAUGCAAGUUAUUGGACUGAAGAACGUUUAGUUAGACCUGUAUACCCCUUCUUCUUUUAGGAGUGUUUGCCAUCACAUCUGUUGGCAAGAUGAUGGCCUGCAUGGGUUUGAGCUCUCAGUCUUUUUUCAUUCUUGUUGGUUUUUCUCUAAACAAACAGAGAAAUGCUUGCUUAUGCUGCAGCAGUGUAAUGUUCAACUAGGACCAAUUUUGUUUUGAACGUUUUCACUGUUGAGCAAAACUGUGUGAUAUUACCUUUGGAGUUCAUUUUCACUUUAUUCGAGGUAAUGCAGCCAUUUUAAAAACAGACACAAAUGCACUCACAUGCUCAUCACUUACAUACUCAACAGAAGAAGAACAAAAAUAAUUUAACAGCAUUUAGUGCAAAGUUUGAGCAGGGUUUAAUGAAUAUUAGCCUGCCAGUGGUUCUGAAAGUAGGCCCCAAUAGCUUGUGAGCAGUUUUUCUAUUUUGUUUCAAAGUAUUAAUUGCAUAGGUGCAUUGUUUAUAUGUUUACAUUCCACACUGGGUAAGAAUA